AGCUCCAUGCGUUCAGGGCGCCUGGCGCAGCUCAGUUAAAGCGGAACUAAGCUGGGGUGCAAUGGCGGUGGGGACACGGAUGGGACUCAUUUUGAAGCCCCCGAGGAGGAGACUGUGCCUGGUGAAAGGGUAGACGUAUCCUCUUCUCCUCGACAAGAGUGGGUGAUAGGUGAGGCCAGAGGGAACAGCACCCACAGGCCCAGAGAUUCCAGGCUCAUCUCGCCUAGACGAGGUUUGAAAUCUCUGGUUGGAUCAACGCGAUUUCGCUCAGAGCACGGACAGCUGGUCUUGAGAAUUAAAGAAAACUGACUCGCUGACUGAGGAAGGAAGUGACAUCAAUGAGCUGCUGGAGUCAGCCGCAGGGGACUGGCUUGUGAGGAGUAGCCUCGCACUGCAGUGCAUUUGGGGGGAGCUGCCUUGAGAUGCAAAUCGCUGUAUCCAUCAAACCCGCGAUGCCUACUCCAACCAACUUAGUGCCAUGGAGGCAA